rnacentral:tRNA from 1 species
CGCUACGGACUUAAAAUCCGUCGAAUUUUUAAAUCGUGAGGGUUCAAGUCCCUCUAUCCC